GCCGGCACGGGUCGGGCUCUGCUCUCUGGGAUGCUGAAGAGACCCCGAGGGUGAGCCUGUCCGCGUCUGCCUCCUCCGGAGCAGCGCAAGUCAGAGAGUUAAAGAGCGAUGCACAGAGCUAACGAACGAUGCUUCGCCGCCUCACCUGGCACAUUUUACUCGCUGCUGCAGAAUAACGCAAUGCAGGAUUGAAACGAACCUCAUGGAUAAGGCUGCUCUUUUUGCUCCAGACUCCUGCACAUCUCUGUUUCUCACCUCCUCCUGAUAUAGACCAGCCAUUCUGUCUCCUCCCUCUACUUUUUCAAAGAACAGCUGCGGUCAGCAGUUAGCAAAAGCUCAUUAGGAGGAUUAACAUUAAGCUGCCAAUGGAAAAAAAUGGUGCUUUCGCUUAGAUGUCUCCAUUUUUGCAGCCACAAGGGUAUAGGCUACCAUACCUGAUGGACUAACACCAAAACAGCCCUUUCUGCCCACUUGAUCCGGAGAGGCUGGAGGUAAAUAACAACAUUCAAGCAGUUUUUGAGCCAGCCCAGCUGCAGGUUGUGGAGGGAGUAAUGGAGUGGUCACCAGUGAGAGGAGCACAGGGACAUGGGCAAGUCUGCAAUAGAAAUAAAGCUGUUUGAUGAA